UCCCUGGAGGACUAGUGGUUAGGCCUCGGCACUCUCACUGUUACAGCCCAGGUUGGAUUCCCGGCCAGGGAA
rnacentral:tRNA from 1 species